AUUUCUUUUGAGUCAACCCUCUAAAUCUCUCACAAGCAUCAUACAAGCUCUCAUUUUCAAGUUGAUGAAAUAAAGUGAUCUCAUUUAGAAAUU
rnacentral:snoRNA from 1 species